UUUCAUGGGUGUGUUUUUCUUCCAGUCUGACUCUUUUAAGACUUAAAGCGAAUUCGAUUUUUGUUUCCUUUCCUCGAGACUACCAUUAACCGUCAUUUUUGCUCUUUUCUUAAAUAAUGUUUUUUGUGCAAUAGGUUGUCGAUCGCCUCAUUAGCAGAAACUAUCCUAUGUGAAGUCCAAUUUUGCGUUCAUUUGCGGAUAAUUCACCUAAACAGUUACACAGAUGGACAUAUAAUCAAAAACUUUAAUCAUUUUAAGAAAAGAAAGGCGGAGAAAAUCUCGCUCUUCCGUCACAGCAUUGCAAGAACAACGAACCAUUGGUCCUUAUGUCGUAAGCCUAUUGGAGCUCGUGAACUGGAUUUUCAUUGGAAGCUAGUGUUGAAGGGAUAUGCAGGACUGAAUUCUAGACCAGCGGUCGUCAACCCUUAGAACUUCACGGACCACUACAUAUAUAAUUUUAUAUUUGGUGGACCACUAAUAUGAAUUUAAAA